GUGGGGAAUAUUGGGCAAUGGGGGCAACCCUGACCCAGCAACGCCGCGUGAGGGAAGAAGGUUUUCGGAUUGUAAACCUCUGUCCUAUGGGAAGAAGGAAGUGACGGUACCAUAGGAGGAAGCCCCGGCUAACUACGUGCCAGCAGCCGCGGUAAUACGUAGGGGGCGAGCGUUGUCCGGAAUUACUGGUCGUCAAGGGUGCGCAGGUGGCCUGACAAGUCAGAUGUGAAAUACCGAUGCUUAACGUCGGGGCUGCAUUUGAAACUAUGAGGCUGGAGUGCAGGAGAGGGAAGCGGAAUUCCUAGUGUAGCGGUGAAAUGCAUAGAUAUUAGGAGGAACACCAGUGGCGAAGGCGGCUUUCUGGACUGUAACUGACACUGAGGCACGAAAGCGUGGGGAGCAAACAGGAUUAGAAACCCUAGUAGUCC
rnacentral:rRNA from 1 species